rnacentral:rRNA from 1 species
GCCCCAGUAAACGGCGGCCGUAACUAUAACGGUCCUAAGGUAGCGAAAUUCCUUGUCGGGUAAGUUCCGACCCGCACGAAAGGCGUAACGAUUUGGGCACUGUCUCAACGAGAGACUCGGUGAAAUCAUAGUACCUGUGAAGAUGCAGGUUACCCGCGACAGGACGGAAAGACCCCGUGGAGCUUUACUGUAGCCUGAUAUUGAAAUUCGGCACAGCUUGUACAGGAUAGGUAGGAGCCUUUGAAACGUGAGCGCUAGCUUACGUGGAGGCGCUGGUGGGAUACUACCCUAGCUGUGUUGGCUUUCUAACCCGCACCACUUAUCGUGGUGGGAGACAGUGUCAGGCGGGCAGUUUGACUGGGGCGGUCGCCUCCUAAAAGGUAACGGAGGCGCUCAAAGGUUCCCUCAGAAUGGUUGGAAAUCAUUCAUAGAGUGUAAAGGCAUAAGGGAGCUUGACUGCGAGACCUACAAGUCGAGCAGGGUCGAAAGACGGACUUAGUGAUCCGGUGGUUCCGCAUGGAAGGGCCAUCGCUCAACGGAUAAAAGCUACCCCGGGGAUAACAGGCUUAUCUCCCCCAAGAGUUCACAUCGACGGGGAGGUUUGGCACCUCGAUGUCGGCUCAUCGCAUCCUGGGGCUGUAGUCGGUCCCAAGGGUUGGGCUGUUCGCCCAUUAAAGCGGUACGCGAGCUGGGUUCAGAACGUCGUGAGACAGUUCGGUCCCUAUCCGUCGUGGGCGUAGGAAAUUUGAGAGGAGCUGUCCUUAGUACGAGAGGACCGGGAUGGACAUACCUCUGGUGUACCAGUUGUCGUGCCAACGGCAUAGCUGGGUAGCUAUGUGUGGACGGGAUAAGUGCUGAAAGCAUCUAAGCAUGAAGCCCCCCUCAAGAUGAGAUUUCCCAACUUCGGUUAUAAGAUCCCUCAA